AUGUCGCCAGCAGACGGCAUCGAGGGCGUGACAUCCACGUACUUCUAUUACGUGUCUGAUCGUGUGCACCAUGACCGAGACUGUGCUCCAAAGUUCACCGGCACGCAGGGAGGCGAGGCUGGUCUGACCGCCGGCAGUUGCGCGGGCCGUGAAACAAACAAUCCUCUACAUCCUUUUCGGCAGGGGCCAUAUGCGUGCCCCGAAGCACAACUCAUGGCCAACUGUCCUGUCAUUCGCCUCAAUGAUGAUAGCGCGGUGGAGCGGCUCCUCCGAUGGUCCGCCAUGACAUUGGAGGCCACAGCCUCGUGGGUUGCUGAUGAGGACAUCAAUACCAUUGUUACACCCGCAGCCCCUACUGUUACAUAUACUGAACAAUUACUAGAGCUCGCGCACGUCAAUUAA
rnacentral:rRNA from 1 species